rnacentral:tRNA from 5 species
CGCGGGGUGGAGCAAUUGGUAGCUCGUCGGGCUCAUAACCCGAAGGUUGCAGGUUCAAGUCCUGUCCCCGCUACUA